AGGAACAAGGUUUCCGUAGGUGAACCUGCGGAAGGAUCAUUACAGAAUCUCUUCUAAAGUUUUGUUAUGAGUAAUUAUUCUAGCGCUGCUGAAAUAUUGCGUGCGCGGUUGGUUGCUUGUGAUAAUUCUUUGGGAAAACUCUAUACACUUUGUUUUCUUAUUAGAGACAAACUUGCUUUGGUCAGAUGUGCGUAAAACCACGACUGAUCAGAGAUUUAAUAAAACUCAUUUUUGUUUUCGGACAAAAAACGUGUAUUAUUCAUAGUCAAAACUUGAAGCUAUUCUUUAUUGAAUUGCUGAACUAAACUUUAAACUUUCAACAACGGAUCUCUUGGUUCUCGCAUCGAUGAAGAACGCAGCGAAGUGCGAUAAGUAAUGUGAAUUGCAGAUUUUCGUGAAUCAUCGAAUCUUUGAACGCAUAUUGCGCCCUCUGGUAUUCCGGAGGGCAUGCCUGUUUGAGCGUCAUUUCCUUCUCAUAUCCCUAGGAUGUGGUGAUGAGCGAUACUUUCGUAAGAAAGUUCGUUUGAAAUGAAUUGGCACGAGUCUUUCGACAGAUUGAUGCUAUGUUUUCAAUGUAUUAGGUUUACACCAUCGUUGAUUGUAGUAUUGGGCUGUUGAAGUUAUGGGCUUUGCUUUACAAACUUUACCUUAAAGUUUGACCUCAAAUCAGGUAGGAUUACCCGCUGAACUUAAGCAUAUCUAAAAGGGGAAAAAAGAA
rnacentral:rRNA from 1 species